rnacentral:tRNA from 1 species
UGUAGCUCAGCAGCACAGCACCUGCCUAGCAAGCAUGAGGUCCUGGGUUCAAUCCCCAGUA